UGCACACAUUUCUAAAGCAAGGGUGCACGAAGAACCACUUCGAAUCGUAGGCGUGCAGAGAAAAGCUAUUUUUUCCACAUCGGCCACUCUCAUACAGGUAUACGGACGGGCAUUUGGACUAGUGUGACUGGACGCAAUGAAGAACUACAUAUGGAGCAGUGUCAUCAUUUGGGCCGUACUGGCGCUCCUUCUGCCCACAUUAGAAAAGCGAGAUUCCUUUUCUGCCAUCGCUCUCGUUUAUAUGGGGCCAAGUGCGGGAUAUGGCCACAAACCUGGUGCUGGAAGUCAUGGUAAAGGAUCGCCAAAUCAUAAUACCUCACCAAAACAUGGAGGAGUACCAAGCCACAAAACUGAAAAAUACGGAAAUAAUGGCAGCAAGGUCGGAGGAAACAAACUGUUGAGCAGGAUGAAAAGAAGUGCUCCGUCGAUUUCCAGGGCCCUGGCUGUGCUUGUGUAAACACAAAAAAUAAAUUAAAAUUACGAACCAUUUAA